UUUAGGCAUUGUCUGUGUUUAGUGUGACCUCUCUUGGCACUAAACACAUCUUGAGCGUUUUUGAGCAGAAUGAACUAAAAAGACAAAUUUCUUUAAAAUUAGAAAUAGGAUUUAAUUUUAUUUAGGUUUAAGGGCGCACCCACAUUAUCCAAACCAAACCAUGCCCCAGCUGUACUUUUAUCGAUCCGAGCCCGGGCACGCUUUCGACAUUAAGAUGUGGUUGUUUUGAAAAAAGCAGGAAGUAAAGCACUCUCUUAACACCAGUGCUUUAAGUGGGCCGGAACGCGCCGGUACUCAGUACCGCCACUUCUAAAAAUAGCUCUUGAGCGUACCACCACCUCUCCCUGAGCCCAGAACGUGCUUUUAGCGUACCGGAACGCUCAUUUGCACCUCUGUUUAAAUCAGAGGUUUUAAUCCUUUUGGCUGCGCUGCCGCUUUUCAGAGCGCUCUUCACAAUGUACACUUCCUAAUUCGUCCCACCGAGAGCAGAGACUACAUUACCCAUACACCCUUGAGUUUACAAGUUAAAAGCGCAUGCAUCGCCUUUGCUGUCAGUCAGCCUCAACGUGGUGUGGAGAGGUGUGACUCACCAUACCCGUCAAGUAUCCCGUAUUUUACCCUUCUUUCCCGCCGUCCUCCUGUAUUAGUAUUUUCCCUUAAAUCUCCCGUAUUUUAUCCUCCGUAAUUUCGCACGCAAAGGUUGUGAUCUAUAAAAAGAUCCUAAAGAUCGCUAAAGAUACACUGAUUCCACUAAUCCACUUCGUGUUUUCCCGCCCGCCCCGCAGCAUCUCUGUGUGCACUCUCUGCCUGGACGACAGUUUCUGAAGUUCGUUGCAUUAACAGGCAAAAAAUACAAAAAACACAAAUGCCUUCACAAAAUAAAGACAGAGAACGGAAAGGGAGGCUGCUUCUAAAGGCAGUUCAACAUUGCAAACAUGGAUUCAAAGAUCCAUCAAGCCAGCAGGUCGUCUGUUGACUGCUGAAUAUAAAACCCCUUCAAUAUAGAAGUCCAGUCAGCAAAAAAAAGAAAAAAAAAGAAAAAUAGAGUACCGGCACUUCUUUGGACCACUUAAAGCACUCUCUUAACACUGGAACCCAUCGUAAUGCUGAGUCUGUGUUUUUUAUUCGGAGUCAUUUGGUGCGCGAUGAUAGACAGCCUUCUCACAUGUCAUCGUAUUGCUUAGUUGAUCUGUCACGUGUGCAGCUCGUAUAUUCACGUAACCCUGCUGCGCGCAUCAAAAGGUUUUU